rnacentral:rRNA from 1 species
GACAGAGGUCCCAAGCGUUAGGCGGAAUCACUGGGCUUAAAGCGUGUGUAGGCGAAGUUCUAAGUACCUUGUGAAAUCCCACGGCUCAACCGUGGAACUGCUUGGUAUACUGGUUCUCUUGGGUCGUCUAGGGGCGAGCGGAACAAACGGUGGAGCGGUGAAAUGCGUAGAUAUCGUUUGGAACGCCAAUGGUGAAAACAGCUCGCUGGGGACGUACCGACGCUGAGACACGAAAGCCAGGGGAGCGAACGGG